AGUGAACGCUGGCGGUAGGCCUAACACAUGCAAGUCGAACGGCAACGCAGUGAUUGCUUGCUCUGACGGGUUGCGAGUGGGGGACGGAAGAGGAGUACAUCGGAAUCUACUUUUUGGUGGAGGAUAAGGUAGGGAAACUUACUCUAAUACAUCAUACGACCUACGGGUGAAUGGAUGGGAACUUCGAACCGUGCGCGUUUGAAUUAGCCGCUGUUGGAUUUGUUAGUGGGGGGGGUAAAGGCCCACCAAGGCGAGGAUCCGUAGCUGGACUGGGAGGAUGAUAAGCCACCUUGGAACGGGGACACGGUCAAGACUCCUACGGGAGGCACCAGAGGGGAACAUUGGACAAUGGUGGCAAGCAUGCUCCAGCCAUCCCGCGUAGGUGAAGAAGGCCUUGGGGUUUUAAAGCCCUUUUGUUGGGAAAAAAAAGCAGCAGGUUAAUACGCCGCUGUUCUGACGGUACCCAACGAAUAAGCACCGGCUAACUUCGUG
rnacentral:rRNA from 1 species